CUACGGGAGGCAGCAGUCGAGGAUCUUCGGCAAUGGGCGAAAGCCUGACCGAGCGACGCCGCGUGGAUGAUGAAGGCCUUCGGGUUGUAAAAUCCUGUCGAGGGGGAUCAAAGGCAACUUGAGUGAUCCCUGGAGGAAGCACGGGCUAAGUUCGUGCCAGCAGCCGCGGUAAGACGAACCGUGCAAACGUUAUUCGGAAUCACUGGGCAUAAAGGGCGCGUAGGCGGCUUUCUAAGUCAGGGGUGAAAUCCGGCAGCUCAACUGUCGCAGUGCCUUUGAUACUGGAGAGCUCGAGGGAGGUAGGGGUCUGUGGAACUUCCGGUGGAGCGGUGAAAUGCGUUGAUAUCGGAAGGAACGCCGGUGGCGAAAGCGACGGACUGGAUCUCUUCUGACGCUGAGGCGCGAAAGCCAGGGGAGCAAACGGGAUUAGAAACCCCAGUAGUCC
rnacentral:rRNA from 1 species